rnacentral:rRNA from 1 species
UACGAAGGGGGCUAGCGUUGUUCGGAAUUACUGGGCGUAAAGCGCACGUAGGCGGGUCGUUAAGUCAGGGGUGAAAUCCCAGAGCUCAACUCUGGAACUGCCUUUGAUACUGGCGACCUAGAGUCCGGAAGAGGUUAGUGGAAUUCCCAGCGUAGAGGUGAAAUUCGUAGAUAUUGGGAAGAACACCAGUGGCGAAGGCGGCUAACUGGUCCGGUACUGACGCUGAGGUGCGAAAGCGUGGGGAGCAAACAGG